rnacentral:lncRNA from 1 species
GUUGGUAAGAGCAGAACAUGCCUUUUUAUAAAAGACAUGAACAUUUCACUUUCUCUUCUGACUUAUAAUUCUUUCUCAUUAUUACAGAGUUAUACCAAAAUUAUUCAAUAUGCAAAUUAGCUUGCAUUUCAGCUUCUCAUCCUGGCCAUUGCCUAACUUUGAACAAUUUCACUGUUCAUUCAUACUUCCAAAAAAAUUAACAAAAAAGCAGUAAAAACUAAAACCUAUUGUUUUAAUUAUAUAUAUUAUUUUAGUCGAAAUUUUUCUGGUCAUCGCUCUUGCUAAUAGGAUGCCUUCAGAUUAUUAGUGAUUGUUAUUUAUCCAAGAUAUAACUGGCUCUCAUUAUAUAAAAAAUAGAACAGGCUACUGUAGAAAUAAAACUGUCCAGAAGCAAUUUCUAAGGGUCUGUCUCAAUGAACUAUACUUCAACAUAGCAAUUGAAGCAUUACUUUAAAUAACACAUAUCAGCUCUAUAGUGAAAAUCUCUUUUAAAAUCAUGCACUUUCAUUUGAAUGGCACUUAAUUAAUAAGACUUACAACAUAAUAAUGCCACCAUGCACUUGUCCAAUGCAUUAUAUAUUUUUAAAUACUUACAUUUGUAUGGUUUUUGCAGGUAUUUUUUUAUACAAUUUAGCUGCCUUUUGAUACUGUUUAGCUGUUUAUCAGGAUUUAAGAGAUAUUUAAAAAACCACACACAAAAAUUUUCCACUUUACAGAUAUAGACACUAAAGUGCAAAGAUAUUCAACAGACUUGAUAAAGAUCCCAAGGCAAGUGAGAGUAAGGCCAGAAGCAGAAUGAAGGCCCUCUACUCUGAUAGGUUUCUUCAAAGUAGCUUCCUGGUGAAACUAUAUUCAGUAACUACACUUUAGAACACUGUGAAAUUCUAAAUAGAAUGGAAUGUCUAUUAUCUACACAGAAAUCUUUUCAAGCGUAUCUGUUUGAAUACAAGUUUGACUAGGAGGUCCCUAGGAGCCUCUGUCUCUGGAGGCAGAGGCUCAAUGUCAUAGGGUGGUCACAGAGUUAUCAUUUUUAGGGGUGUGGUGGGGUGGGACUGUUGUUGAAGUAAAAGGAGGAGGGUUAGACCUGCCCAACUAGAGGUUUCUUCUAGUUUUUAUAUUUUUAAGACAGUUUAUUAUUAUGUGGCCAAUGAACCAGCAGGUGGCACUACACAACAAUUUUACACAGGCAAAAAUAAGUUCCCUUAGGGCGAAAAAGAUGAUGUUUUCUCAAAUGGGACCUUUGGAAGGAUAUGGACCUGUACAACAUGCACGCCUACCGGGGAAAAAGGACUGAAAAUAGUUGUUCGAAUAGGAUGCCCUUCACCCCGCAGAAUGUGAUCAACACUACUCUGACAAUUUACACAAACAAGAAGUGACCACUUUAAAGAUGGAAUGCCAAGAACAAUACAAUAAAUGCUAAAGAGAAAGAGUGACAAAAGUGAGCAACUACAGAUAAUGCAGUCAUGGAACCAGAAAAAGAGGUGAAAACCACAUUUGCAUAUAAUUGCAGCUUCCUGAUACUUUAGACUUUUCUCAUGCCAUUUUGCCUUCAUUCUCUAUACUUCCAGGUACAUGACUUUCUUUCUACUUGAGAAAUAGAAAUAAAAUCCUAAGUCCCCAAUCUGACUCAACACACCCCCUCCUGGCCAAGGAGACCCCAGGGAAACCUUAAAAACUCAAUUCCCAGCUAUGACCAGAGAGGUAAGGUCACUCAAUCAUUAUACCCACUCCUUUGCCACCAUUAGACUCUCUUUCCUAAGAGUUGAACAGAAACUAGCACUUUUGAAAGACUUGCUCCACUGCUGAUUUCAACCAACCACCUCAUUCUGCAGCAGAGCUCCCUUCCCCUUUUAUGGUCUCAACGCAACUGACCAGCAUUUCUUCCUGGAAAGAAACCAUGGACUGUGGACUGCUUCUAGCUGGUCCAUGGAGACUGUGCAUAGGGUGCCUCUGCAUUUAAACGUUGUGUCUCCACCUCAAAGUGCACAUGGGAUGUAUGUAACAUGCAUGUUUGCUUACUACGCAUGUGCAACCCCUUCAUAAAUAUUCACAGUUCCUCCUCUAAUCUGUUGAACAUGUAUACUUAGGCAACCCGUUCAGCAUAAAUUCCUGUCUUGCCCUUCCUCCUUCAAAGCACCUGCUUUUGCUUUCUGCGGGAGGCUAUGCUUCCCAGCCUGCAAGUGGCCAGCCUGCAGGCUACAACCCAUUAUAAGAAGUAAAGCUCUCCUUUCCAAAUUUGUAGAUCUCAUGAUUUUAAGUUGACAUAUUAGAAGUAAGCUCAAUACAUAUUAGAAGUAAGCUCACCUCAGAGCCCUUAGAGGGUCUAUUCCUUCUGACUAGAAAGCUUUUCCUUUCACUUUUACCCAGUUUAUAUCUAUCGGUCCUUUAGAUAUCAGAUUAAAGGUAACCCUUUGGCAACCAUCCCCACUACCCAUAUAUUCCUCUCCCACAUUAGGUUAGGUCCCCUUAACAUGUUCACUGGUGCUUUCCCUUUGCACAGUUGUUACGCUUGUGUUAGACAUUGGGGAGGGAGCUAUAAAUCUUUGCCUAGGGGUAGCCUUCCCUUCUAUACUACACUCCAUGAGGGUAACCACAUACAUAACUUGCUGCUUCAACACUCUGGCGCUUGGUGGCAUCUAGAUGCUCAAUAAAUAUGUGCUCAGUAAUUAAAUCAAUAAAUUCUUAAGUUAGGGUCUUCGUCCAAGUUGACUUAGCCCCACACAGUGUGGCUGAAUGUACCUCAAAUAUAGCAUUUGUAGGAGAGAACCUACCUGACCCAGGACUUUUUAUUUGACCCAGAGUUCCAAUUUAUGUUUUAUUGUUCCAAUUUUCUUUUUGCUCUUGCAUUGGGUAAAGUCAUAUUUCAAAGCACAUGAAGGAAAAAUAUUUUAUUUUAAGUGUUAUCAUUUUAAUUAAUUGUUUUUCAAUAGGCUAUCAACGUGGGGCUAGUAAUAAUUUACAGUGGCCAGAGUCAUAAACAAUGUUAAUUUUAUUUCCUUUACUGCUACUGCAAUGCAAAGCUAUAUAAUCCAUGCAAGAGUAGGAUGGUUAAAAAUGAUUGUGGGCUUAUAAAUAUUUACUACCCUAUCUGUGAAGCUGGAGUCCAGCCAGUUCUGAAUGCUGAUGGAGAACAAAGAGUAUAGCAAGUCAGAGACCACCCUGACUUCAAAGCUAAGAGUUUAUCUUCUGUUCUCAGUUUUCUUGACUUCUUUGAUGCAGUAGACACAGAGUGGUAUCAACUUUCUUCUGGACAUUUUUAUGUGCCUAGCUUCUAUGACAACUCAUCCUUCUGGGUUUCUUUUAUCUCUUCUUCCUUUCCACUCCAUUCCAUGCCUAACCUCAUUAACUAUGGCCCAUGAUCACAGUCUAUUCAUGGGGUCCCAGUGUCAUCUAAUGCAAGAGUGGCAGGUGAGGAGCUUGGAGACCAGGUUUUAGUCAAGGUCCUGCUGCAAGUUAGUGAAUCACCAUGAGCGGCCACUUAAUUCUGUGUACCAUAUAUUUUUAUGUAAAAUGAGAAGGUUAAAAAAAUUCUUCAGGGCUUUUUCCUACACUAUUCUUCAUUUUCUCCUCGAGGAAAUUAUCUGCUUAUAAUAUGAUUUCAUUUUUUUAAAGUCCUAGGUCUAUUUUUCUAGCCCUGAUCUCUUUCUCUGUCAUUGGUCCAUAUGCCAUUUUCAUUGAAAUGUUCCACUAACAUUCAAAACUUAAAGGUUGUACACUGCUGGUGGCAGAGUAAAUUGGAACUGCCCUUUCGGAAAGCAAUUUGGUAACACGUCUCAAGACUCAUGAAAUAUAUUCUUUGAUAUGGAAAUUAUUCUGGAAUUUAUCAUUAGGAAAUGAUUCAAAAUAUUGUUUUAAAAAAGCCCUAAGAAAAAAAAGCUCAAUGCCACAAAAGAAAAUAAAAAGGAAUCCAAAUGUCCCAGCAUUUGAAAUAUUAUUAACCAUAUAUUACAGCAAAUCAUUUUGAUAAAUCAGUAAGCAGCCAUUUAAGUGGUAUUUAUGAAGGUCAUUUAGCACCAUGAAAAAACAAAAUAGUAUGUAUAAUUUAAUGGCAAGUGAAAAAAACAGGAUACAAACAGUGUAUAAAUAUUAGUAUGGAACACAUAAAUAUAUUUAAAAGAGA